rnacentral:rRNA from 1 species
UACGAAGGGUGCAAACGUUGCUCGGAAUUAUUGGGCGUAAAGCGCACGUAGGCGGCUUAGCAAGUUGGAUGUGAAAUCCCUCGGCUCAACCAAAGAAGUGCAUCCAAAACUGCUGAGCUUGAGUACUUAAGAGGAUCGCGGAAUUCCGGGUGUAGCGGUGGAAUGCAUAGAGAUCCGGAAGAACACCGGAGGCGAAGGCGGCUUGCUGGGCAGUUUUGCUGACACUGAGGCGCGACAGCGUGGGGAGCAAACAGG